rnacentral:rRNA from 1 species
GGGCCCGCACAAGUGGUGGAGCAUGUGGUUUAAUUCGAUGCAACGCGAAGAACCUUACCAACCCUUGAAAUCUAGCGAAGUUCACAGAGAUGAGAAUGUGCCUUCGGGAACGCUAUGACAGGUGUUGCAUGGCUGUCGUCAGCUCGUGUCGUGAGAUGUAUGGUUAAGUCCAGUAACGAGCGCAACCCCUAUCCUUAUUUGCCAGCGCGUUAAGGCGGGAACUAUAGGGAGACUGCCGGGUGAAACCCGGAGGAAGGCGGGGACGAGGUCAAGUCAUCAUGGCCCUUAUGGGUUGGGCUACACACGUGCUACAAUGGGAAGUACAGAGGGAUGCGAAAGCGCGAGCUGGAGCCAAACCUUAAACUUUCUAGUCCGGAUUGGAGUCUGCAACUCGACUCCAUGAAGUCGGAAUCACUAGUAAUCGCGAAUC